UAGUUUGAAAGACAGCACAUAUUCAAGA
rnacentral:sRNA from 1 species